UAUCGAACCAUGAGGCUGGAUGGUUGUUGAAAUUCUUUUCUUGUCAAUUGAUGUCAAAGUGAGGAGAAAUAUAGUUGAACCGUGGACGAGAAAGAGCUCAGCAACAAACUUUGUUGGAUAACGUAACACGGGAUUAUUUUAACCAAUGUUUUGAACAUAUACUUGGAUUUUGUAUAGAGUUCCUAGCUAAAAAUCAGCACGGAUCAUUUAAGCAUCACAAAAAGAGACACUAUGUGUUGGAGAAGGGCGUUACCCUGUCCGCCUCACGAGUCGUCAGAUAGAUCACGUCAAGGCUGUGAGGCUUUCUAUAAGUGUGACAAUAAUGGCGAAUAUUUGAUAAAAUGGCGUUGUCAAGGCAACGAUCUACUACUGAAUCACACGUUAUGUUAUGGUAAUGAAAAAGAUCAUCUUUGUCCGCCACCAGUUGUAUGCCCGAAUAAUGAACCAUCUUCCCAUACGGAUGGGAAAUUUCCUACAGAAUUAAUUAUCGGCGCAACACUAGGAAUUUUAUCAUUCUUCUCAAUAAUCAUUAUAGUAUUUGCCGGUGUUCGAAAAUGUCAAAGUAAUAAAAGAUAUCCUAAGAACCAUAUGCGUCAUAUUGCCAAACGACGUCUUGUUCCAGUAUUCAGUGACCCAGUUUUAGCUUAUGAUUUUGGAGUGUAUGAGAAAGCCUACCGAGUAUUUGAGAACCUUAGUGAUGCAUACCCUUCGUCUUCACAUUCCAGUCAUCAUCGUCAUCCACAUUUGCCAUACUUUAACGAUCAGUCCAGUGAUAAUGGCCUUUUUAGUGUGGAAAUCGAAGAUGAGAGUCGUUACGAACCAUCAAUAAUAGCGGGCAGUUUUGUGUAUCACCAUCCGAACAACCUUCCUCCCCAUUUAGCGGGAGAUUACCCGCAAAAUAACGUCUCUUAUGAUAGUUUUAAAAACGAUCAUUUGUUCGAAACCUCAGGUCGAGGUAUAAUAACAAGUACAUUAAAUAAUAACCACCAACCACCAGAUAUGUAUUUAUAAUAAAUUAUAGACAUAUUUUGACAGAUACUUAAAAAGUAUAUAAUUGUAAAUAUAAACAAACAAUGUAUAUAGACAUAUAAAGGACACAGAUAUAUCUAAACGAGAACAUAAAAUGUUCUUGUUACCUACAAAUAGGUUUGUUUUAUAUUUUAUACCGUAAUCUCAUUAAAAAACAAACAAUUGGUGCAAUAUGACAAUAGAUUGUCAGGGUACAUGCUACAAUUAAGCUAGGUAUGUAAACAUUUUCUCAUUUAUUGUACAUAAUUUGCAUAAAAAUACCUGUUUGAAAACUGCACCCUUGGCUUUUAAUUAAGUGAUUGUUUAAGCACCCUUAUAGCUCAAUUGCUGGCAAAGAGAUCAAUUUUUAUCUUAGCAUAAUAAGUCACUGCUACUUUGAGUGUAAUUUGUAUGUAUUUUUUAGUCUUUUCUCCCCCCCCCCUCUCUUUUGUUUUGCUUUUUGUCAUGCUGUUAAUGCACAGAUCUCAUUCAGCGAAAUUUUUAAUUCUUUUUUUUUACAUUUUGUAAGUAUGAGGGUAUUUUAGGACUUUAUGGCCUACCAGGAAAUUGAUAAGUACUUUCAGGUUUUAUAAAAAUAUUUUUCAAAUCUUAGUCUAGGCUUUCUGAAUUAAUUGUUUGUGUCUGAAUACAUACAACUUAUUUAUUGCAUUAACCGUCUGUAGUUUGUCCAAUAUGACACUUUUCCAGUUUUGCAGAAAAUAAAUUACGGCUAACAGCCUUAAAAUUGCAAAAUAAAUAAAUAAUUACUAAUUAUUAUGAUGCACAAUUGGCAUCGAUUUUUUGGAGAAAAUGAAGAUUCAGUGGAUUCAAAUGCAUGUAUAUUGGAGAAACUACAUUCCCUAACAGAAUAUUAACUCACUAGUAUUAUUUUGAUCGGUUCAAUAAAGUAGAUGUUAGAACAAGGGAUUAGAAAGGUAAUGGUCUUCAAUAGGCACUAUCAUCAGAAAUGCACAAUUUAUUAACAGUGGUGAAUGUUGGAAUUGUUCAGAAUUAUGCCAUCAAAAGUAACCAGAAGGCGGUAAACUGGACUCUUCAUCGGCGUUUAUGCCAUGAACAUUAUUGUAGGCUGUUCCAUGUUCUAUCAUUCACCACAGUAAAUUAGUCAUGGAUUCUGCCUUAGAAUGAAUUCUAAAAGCACCCCAGUUUCUGAUUGAUAAUAGAUGAUAUUUUUCGCGGUAGUUUUUGAAAUAGAAAUAGUUAGUUUGUAUGCUCUAAUUCAUCUAACACAGUUUAUAAACACUUGUGGGUAACCCCAUCAUAGGUUAAGUAUUGGUGUCAUAUUUUUCAAAAGGUACGUUUAAGAGAUUUUUCAUUCAAAGUGAUGCUGUUUAAGAGAUUAUACUUCCAUUUGAAAUGAUGCUGUUUAGCGGUUUCCAUUCAAAAUGAUGUGGUUUUAAACAUUCUGUAGCCGAAGGUAUGGUCUUAAAUUAUUUUAUCUGUUGUUUUACAAUGCACGCUUAAGAAGUACAGGACCGAAAAGGUAUACCCUUACUUACUGACGUAAGUUGUGUGUUUUUCUUAUUAGUUGAUUGUGUUUAGUUCAACACACUUUUCAAUUAACUCCUACAUUUUUUACAGAGUAUGUAAUGUACUUACAGGUAUAUGUUCAUUCAGUUAUUCGCCUUUUAGCUAUUGCGUUUUGGGCAAUACUUACCUCAAGGAGACUGUCAAAGAAUGCCCCUAUAGAGCCACCAUAGUAAACGCUUCUCUUCAGAGAUCAGUUCGCACGCAUUGAAAUUGUUUUCUUCUGCAUUUUAGUAGUAUUAAUUACUAGUAGAUUUUACAAAGUUUUGAAAGAUACUUCUUUAAAGCUUCUAGAAGGCAACUAGAGCUUCUAACUGUAGAUUGCAUUUUUACUUCUUUAAACAAAAGGACGUUUUGCUCUUGGGGAGAAUAUCUUGUUCAAGAUUUGGUGAAAAUAUUUUGUAAGUAAUUGGUAAGUAAGUAAGAAUUGGUCACGUGAUUUCCUUUUUAAUUUGUUCUUAUGGCAUUGGUAAGGGCCAAAAUAUUGGUGACAGUUCUAACACAGUCUUUUGUCCUCGUGUUGAUGUUGAUACGAUCGGUGAUGUUUCAGAUAGGGUUGGCCUAUCUGGAUUUUGGCAUUUGAAGUUUCGGGAUAUGUUGACCAAGAACGGAACCAGUUUGGACGUCACGACCCUUCGCCAGAGUUAUUGUGGUCUAUAUUUUAUUUUAGUUAAUUUUUGUCAUCUAAUUUGCAUAUUCUAAUGAUAUGUCCCAAUAUCAAAAAUAGCUUCUUUUCUUUAAAGAAUGAAUGCAUGCUUUUUUUCUGAUAAAAGAAUUAUAUUUAUGUCAUCAUCAAGGUUGAGGUAAAAUUAUAAAGUAAUUAAGGCCGAUAAGUUUACGUAAAUAAACAUAUUUUGUUGUAAAAAAUAUAUAUAUAUAUUGUAAAUAUUGUGAAAUAGUAUGUGUGUUUGUGAAUGUUUUCAAUUUUUCAUAUGUUUCAUAUAUUUUUUGUACGUUGUAUAAUUUUGUAUAUUUUUGAAUAAUUGCAAUCUAUGUAUGUUAUACAUAGCUUAUUGUGAGCAGGUCAUUAUUAUAAAACACUGUGAAAAUUGUCCGUACUUUUACAGUUUAAACCACUGAUAUUUUUGGCAUGAAAAUUGGUAAUGCUCGCUGAUUUUGGAAUGGUAUGUGCCUUUCAAAAGCGCAAAAAACGUAUUCCAAUAUAUAAUAUAAUGUAUUGACACAAGUAUGAAUUAUAUUCGUAUUUGACGUAUAUAAUUGUUCUCAAUUAUUACAUAAUGGGAAGAAGAAAAAUAUCCGUGGUUUCUGCCAUAAAUGUACAGAUUAUUUUUGCAGUGCAUGCUCGGAUAAGGCCACACCCUUACAGUUCCUGGAAGGCUUUAUCACUCCAUCCCUGACUGGCUUUCAGUUUGUUUAGACAUUGAAUUGGAUCAUAAAACGCUUAACGUAACUAUAUGUUGGAUAUUUGAAUGAAAUUGCAUCUAAAUCCCUAGCUCCUUUAAACAUUGAUUGUACUCUUAGUGCAAUUAUUAGUUUAAAAAAAAUUUCUACUACAUAUUUAUUCUUUAGAUUUCUAACGUCUUCAAUUUCGUUUUAGGUAUUAUAUAUUUUUGAUUAUUUAGACAUAUAUGGUAAGUAUGGAAUUACAAUCUGGAAUGUUAGAUCUUUAGACCAUGGAAUUGGUUGACAGAAAAUAAGUAUUUUUUGUUAUCAGAUUUUUCUUUUUCAAAGUAAUUUUACAGCAGAAACGAACUUCUAACUUCUCUUGGAACAAAAUACAGGUAAAACAAAAUGAAAUUAUGUUCGCUUAGGAAUACAGUAGAUUAAACUGCAUGAAGUAUGUCUUCAGUUGCAUGAUAAGGUUUUACAUUAAUUAACUUUAUAUAAUUUAAUUUCCACAGAUCUUGAGAAAAUAAAUAAAAACUCAUGGUUUUAUCACGUCUUCAGUUUCAUUUUAAAAAAAAAAUGAUACAACUACAAUUUUGAGAAAAUAAUAAUCAUUAACAGUUAAAUAUCAAAUGAUAUUGUAUUAAGUUUAAUAUUUCUAAAUGUUUUUUACUAUGUUGCAUGGUGGGAUUUUACUUCUUUUAAAAUAGAUAGAUAGAAUAAGACUAUUCCCUGAACUCGGUGUAUCGGAAUAAAAUUAGUUGGUAAGUCGUUGAAAUCAUAACAGAAAGGGGUGUUGGAAUCGGUCUUGAUCAAU